rfam:Brassica oleracea var. oleracea cultivar TO1000 chromosome C7, whole genome shotgun sequence
GAUCUAUGAUGAUAAACGUUAAGGCUUGUUUCUCAAAACAUUCGCAAUUGCCAUCUAAAGCUUUCGCCUUUCGCCGGGCUUGAGAGCUAAUGCAGCUCCCUUCCUUCGUUGGAUGUCUAAGAUC